rnacentral:rRNA from 1 species
GACGAACGCUGGCGGCGUGCUUAACACAUGCAAGUCGAACGAAGUGGCGAACGGGUGAGUAACGCGUAAUCAACCUGCCCUUCAGAGGGGGAUAACAGUUGGAAACGAAUGCUAAUACCUCAUACGGAAGGAGGGGAUUGCGUGUGAUUAGCUAGUUGAGGGGGUAACGGCCCACCAAGGCGAUGGUCAGUAGCCGGUCUGAGAGGCUGAACGGCCACACUGGGACUUGGAAACCGGCCAGGCUCCUACGGGAGGCAGCAGUGGGGAAACUUCCGCAAUGGACGAAAGUCUUACGGCGCAACGCCGCGUGAGUGAUGACGGGCUUCUGGUUGUUAAGCUCUGUUAAUCGGGACGCGGUACCGGAAUAGAAAGCCACGGCUAACUACGUGCCAGCAGCCGCGGUAAUUC